rnacentral:rRNA from 1 species
AUGCAAGUCGAACGCUUCUUUCCUCCCGAGUGCUUGCACUCAAUUGGAAAGAGGAGUGGCGGACGGGUGAGUAACACGUGGGUAACCUACCCAUCAGAGGGGGAUAACACUUGGAAACAGGUGCUAAUACCGCAUAACAGUUUAUGCCGCAUGGCAUAAGAGUGAAAGGCGCUUUCGGGUGUCGCUGAUGGAUGGACCCGCGGUGCAUUAGCUAGUUGGUGAGGUAACGGCUCACCAAGGCCACGAUGCAUAGCCGACCUGAGAGGGUGAUCGGCCACACUGGGACUGAGACACGGCCCAGACUCCUACGGGAGGCAGCAGUAGGGAAUCUUCGGCAAUGGACGAAAGUCUGACCGAGCAACGCCGCGUGAGUGAAGAAGGUUUUCGGAUCGUAAAACUCUGUUGUUAGAGAAGAACAAGGACGUUAGUAACUGAACGUCCCCUGACGGUAUCUAACCAGAAAGCCACGGCUAACUACGUGCCAGCAGCCGCGGUAAUACGUAGGUGGCAAGCGUUGUCCGGAUUUAUUGGGCGUAAAGCGAGCGCAGGCGGUUUCUUAAGUCUGAUGUGAAAGCCCCCGGCUCAACCGGGGAGGGUCAUUGGAAACUGGGAGACUUGAGUGCAGAAGAGGAGAGUGGAAUUCCAUGUGUAGCGGUGAAAUGCGUAGAUAUAUGGAGGAACACCAGUGGCGAAGGCGGCUCUCUGGUCUGUAA